rnacentral:rRNA from 1 species
AAUAGAUACCCCGGUAGUCCACGCCGUAAACGAUGGAUGCUAGCUAUUGGGGGGAAUCGACCCCCUCCGAAGCGAAGCUAACGCGUUAAGCAUCCCGCCUGAGUAGUACGAGCGCAAGCUUAAAACUCAAAGGAAUUGACGGGGACCCGCACAAGCGGUGGAGCGUGUGGUUUAAUUCGAUGGUAAACGAAGAACCUUACCAAGGUUUGACAUCCCGGUAGCCGUUCUCCGAAAGGAGAAUUUCAUUUAGUUGGACCGGUGACAGGUGAUGCAUGGCCGUCGUCAGCUCGUGUCGUGAGAUGUUGGGUUAAGUCCCGCAACGAGCGCAACCCUUAUGAUUUAGUUGGAUUUUUACUAAACAGACUGCCCUGGUAACAGGGAGGAAGGAGGGGAUGAUGUCAGGUCAGUAUUUCCCUUACACCUUGGGCGACACACGCGCUACAAUGGCCGGUACAAUGGGCAGCUAAGCCGCGAGGUGGAGCAAAUCCCAUCAAAGCCGGUCCCAGUUCGGAUUGCAGGCUGAAACCCGCCUGCAUGAAGCCGGAAUCGCUAGUAACC